rnacentral:rRNA from 1 species
GACGAACGCUGGCGGUGUGCUUAACACAUGCAAGUGGUGCGACGAACCAGACUUCGGUCUGGGGCAAAGCCGCGAACGGGUGAGUAACACGUGGGUAAUCUGCCCCGAUGACUGGGACAACCCGAGGAAACUCGGGCUAAUACCGGAUGAUGUGCCUGGACAUAAGUCUGGUCACUAAAGGUAGCUUCGGCUUCCGCAUUGGGAGGGGCCCGCGGCCCAUUAGCUUGUUGGUGGGGUCAAGGCCUACCAAGGCAACGAUGGGUAGCUGGUCUGGGAGGACGAUCAGCCACACUGGGACUGAGACAAGGCCCAGACUCCUACGGGAGGCAGCAGUGGGGAAUCUUGCGCAAUGCGCGGAAGCGUGACGCAGCAACACCGCGUGAGGGAAGACGGCCUUAGGGUUGUAAACCUCUUUCAGAUGGGACGAAGGUACGACGGUGAAUAGCCGAUCGGAUUGACGGUACCGUCAGAAGAAGCUCCGGCUAACUACGUGCCAGCCGCCGCGGUAA